CUUCCAGCGUCAAGGAUAAGCAUCUCAAGUAUGAAACUGCAAUGAUGAAUGCUAGUAAGAACAAUCUGACUUGUGACGAACCGGAAGAAAUUCAAUCACCCAAGUUGACUAGUUACAUGAAGCGCUCAACUCCAUGGCGCUCCCCAGUCCGCCAUGGUUCUGUGAUGAAGAAAGAUGCCUUCCACUCCUCUGGCUUGGCGGUUUGAAUUCACUCUCAAAGAAGAAGACUAUGACGACCUUCUCUUCUGAAUGUCUCUGUUUCCUUAAUGUCCUUAGAGGUUUAAGUAGUAGUAGCAAGCAACUAUUUUUUAACAAUGCUUUCAGAUCUACUUACAACUCUGUGUCCGUGUCACUCUAUAACCGACUGAUUUCAUGAAAUUAAGUAUAAUUCUUCCA